CUUCCUGCUUUUUCUGAGUCAGCUGAACAAAAGCUGCCCGAACUUCCAACAGUUCAGCAGUUUUCUGAGCCAACUCUUUGUCAGGAUACCCACAGAAAAGAGAAUCCAACUCAGAAGAUUCAACAGUCUCUAACGAAGGGCCUCUUCCCUGGGAUGUGAGCAGAGAGAAGGGCAACAACAAGUUCUUCCUUUUUAGGUUAACAGGGCAAAGAGAGAAAUGAUGCUACUGAAGCCCAGCGGCAGUUGGAAACUUGGAAAAGAGGCUGAGCCUGGAAAGGGUACAACCUCUACUCAAAACAGGAGGGAAUUAGGAAGAAACACCAGUCCCUCUGUGCCCCCAUUCUCCAGCUACUGCCAGUGCCUCCCAUUGGUUGAACCAGCCAGAAGCCAGCAGCAAAGGAGCCUGGGAGAUGCCUGUCACAGAGGUCAGCCUCCACAGCACAGAGCAGGGCAAAGACAGUGAAUGGCUGAUGGAGGUGGGCAAACGAGAAUAAUCAGAAACCUUCUCCCUGCGCCACAAAAUUGGCAAAAUGAAUUGUCAAAAUUGACUUUAGUGCAGCCAUUUUAAAAUGGAGUCAAAGCUGCCCUUCCAGAGAAACUGCCUUGCUGUCUUGAAACUUGGACUGGGCCAAAAUGGCAAUUGUUUUACAAGCAAUUGUUUGAGAAGUCAGCAGGAGAAUGACAUCCUGAUCACAAAGUCUGAUGAUUGUGGACUUUGUGAAGAUAGAAUCAAUAGUCAAUCAAUGUUAAGCCAAGACUAACCGUAUGCUGCCAACUCCAAUUAAAAUUCUCUGUCAAACGACCUCCCUUCUUUACCUUUAAAAGUCUCUGAUUUUUACUCCCUAGUGGAACACGUUUGGGUUUCUACCUGAAUCUUUGUCUCCCAAAUUGCAAUUCUAAUUUCCCAAAUAAAUAUCUGCUGUUUAAAUUGCAGUAAUUUUUCCUCAAUUGACAGAAUAUUUAAAAUCCUCAGGCUGAUAUUGUCACCAGUUAAAUAAUAAAAGAAUGAAAUCAAGUAAGCUCUUUAAUCUAGGGUUGGAACACUUAGGUUACCAGUAGGAAGAAAAAAACAAUCUUCAUUAUAGCUUCUACUUAAAGAUUCCAUUUAUGUGAACAGGGUCUACAUAUUUCUAGUAAGUUUUAAAAUUUCAUUGUGUGGUGAUCAGACAAUUCAGGUUUGUCCUCUUCCCUCGAGUGGCAGUCUCAUAUAGUGUCACUGCCUCUGGGAGGGGUCCCAGGCUCCAGCAAUUUCUACCUCCAGUGAUAUCUGCUAAGAUGGCUACUGUCUUGCCUGCUCCUUAGUUGCAGGGCCACACAGUUGCAAGGAGUGUCCCUUUGGGCCCAUCUGCAAGGUUCCUUUAGGUCCACGGCGCUCUCUACAAUUUCAGUGCUUCUUUCAAGGUGCCCUGGCAUCAGCGUGCUGCUCCCAAGUUGCUGGGCUCUGGGAGGGCUGUCAAGGACUUCUCCCUCUGGGCAUCCUUCUCCAUUCAUGCAGAGAGGCAAGGGAAACUGUUGAGCCCUUCUCCACUGAAUCUAUUUACUUUGCCACCUCACAGCUAGUUCUUCCCUGGGGCCUUACUGCUUCUCCAGUCUCUAUCUAGGCAUGAGGCUCAGGUCCUCUUGAUCCUGGAUCCCCAACCUGUCUUUGGUUUUGUCAACAUCCCCUUCCCAGGGACACACAUUCUCUAAGCUCUCUUAGCUCUUUCUUGCACUUUUCACCUCUCCUAACUGGUUGAAUCUGAUCAAAUUAGGGAGUGGUUAUGGGGAAGCCUUUCAGAGUUUACAAUACAUCUCUUCAAAUCUUUUGUUUCUGGUAGAGACCAGAGUUUUGACAUUUCUUCUUUAUAGCAAUAUAAGUAUGGUUCUAAACUCUAUCAGACACAGGCUCUCUUAUUGUAUUGUAUUGUGUUGUAUUCUAUUCUAUUCUAUCCUAUUCCAAUUGGAAAGGUAGUGUAGUAAGCUCUAGAAAUGAACAGAUCUGGUGUAAGUCCCAACCAGGUUGGCCACUUAUUAGCUGUGUGAAUUAAGCAAGUUUCUUACCCUGUGAGUCUUCCUUCUUUCCUCUACUGUAUUUAUCUUCCUCAGGGGUGUGAGGAUUAAUAAGAUAGAACAUAUAAAGCACUAAGCAUCAUAACUGCAGAACAAGAAUACCACAUAUAUAUUAGCGGCUGCUGCUGCUGUCAUUAUCUUAUGCAAAGUCUCUAAUUCAUACUUUAUACACAGGGCUACUGAAAAGAUAGUUAUUAUCUAAGCAAAUAGACUCCAAUUCCAUUUUUUUCUUAAAGAUUGGCACCUGAGCUAACAACUGUUGCCAAUCUUCUUUUUUUUCCUGCUUUUUC